UUAAGGAAAGAAAAGAAGAGAAAGAGUAUUUUUCUUCCUUUCUCUUAGCAUGCUACCUAUUUCGCUUAAGACAUAUUUGUUUCACCGAAACUGGACUUUGGGUUGAAGUGGACUUUGAGUUGAAGUGGAGUUCAGUGAAAACUAACUCUUCCCUGCUGUUUGUUUCGUAGUUAUAAAAGUGAAGUUUCAUUAAUUCUGCUGUUUGUUUGAUAAGAAGUAUAUGAUGUAAAACUAUAAUUUACAUAUAAUAAAAAUUUAAUAAAUAAAAAUAAUAUAAUUAUAUUUUUUAUAUAAUUAAAAUUUAAUUUAAAACAACUAUAUUAUUUUUUACAUAUAUUAUUAAUUUAAAACAACUAUAUAAUUAUAUUUUUAUAUAAUUAAAAUUUAAUUUAAAACAACUAUAAUUUACAUUUAAUUAUUUUUUAUACAUAAAUUAUAGUAAUACAAUAAUAAAAUUAAAAAGUAAAAAAAAUUAUUACUUAAUUAAUUUUUAUCAUAUUUUAGUUAUACAAAUUAAAUAAAAAAAUAUUAAACUUAACUAAUUAAUUUUUAUCAUAUUUUUAACAUGUCAACUGAAUAAAAGAAUAAUUAGUAACUAUAAUUAAAUAUAUUUAAAUAUAAUUAUCUUUACCUAGUAUAUUAUUUUAUUUUUUAUUUUUUACCUCUCUUCACCGUAAUUGACCUCAGCCCACGAUGAGCCACAGUCAAUUACGCCGUUUAAGGUUUACUCGAGUUUCGACCGUAACUUAUUUACGGCAAACCAAAUAACGAAAAUAAUUGUUUAUAGCGAAAACAACUUCCUUCCACUCCAGUUCCACCCCACUUCCACCCAAACAAACAUGCUCUUCGCUAGAAAUAUGAACCAACUAGAAUUCGAUUUUGGGACAUCGGGCACCAACUACCAAAUAUUUUACCACUUGCGUUAGGGACAAUCAGUUUCUUUCUCUUCUUUUCACUUCACUUUUGGAGGGAAAAAAAAAUGACCAUAAUUCCUCCAUCUUUUCCCAUUUCUCUUCUUCUCUCUUCUCAAAUUUCUAUCCUAAAUUUUCUCUUCUCUUCUCUUCUUAUCUCUCAAAACAAAUGUAGA
rnacentral:lncRNA from 1 species